ACCAAUUAAGAGCUCCAUCUUACAAAUCCGUGUGACUUUCUUUUAUUUCCAUUGAAAUUAACAUCACGAUUAUGUGUUCGUUUCUCUAUAUAUAUAUGUGUUCGUUUCUCUCUUUCUAUAUAUAAACAAAAAAACAAAAAAAACAAAAAAAAAUUAUACUUACAAAAAUGUAUAAGGUUUGCUUACUAACGUUGAGUUUUAUGUUGCUCUCUGGAUUAUCAUCAAACACAGCAGAGGCUCGAGUACUACCAUACGAAUCUCCAAACCCCAAAAUAGGAGAAGCGGUUUGGGAUCUAAAGGUGACCAAAGAGAUCAAGGCUGAGGUAGAUAGAAGUUGUUCGUCAUCUGCAGGACAGGGGGAUUCAGGUGGAAGAGGGGCACCCAAUAGACCAGGCUCCCGAAAACGUUGUAGACCUUAGCAAUAGUUAGUUCAAGCUUAGAUUGAGAAGAAUAUGAAACUUAUGUGCCAUUUUGUCCUAUUAAUAAACUUAAAAGUCAUUGCUUUACAUAAAAACAUUAAACCAGAAUGAGACAAAUGAUUUGAGUUGA